AGUGAACGCUGGCGGUAGGCCUAACACAUGCAAGUCGAACGGCAGCACAGUAAGAGCUUGCUCUUACGGGUGGCGAGUGGCGGACGGGUGAGGAAUACAUCGGAAUCUACUUUUUCGUGGGGGAUAACGUAGGGAAACUUACGCUAAUACCGCAUACGACCUACGGGUGAAAGCAGGGGAUCUUCGGACCUUGCGCGAUUGAAUGAGCCGAUGUCGGAUUAGCUAGUUGGCGGGGUAAAGGCCCACCAAGGCGACGAUCCGUAGCUGGUCUGAGAGGAUGAUCAGCCACACUGGAACUGAGACACGGUCCAGACUCCUACGGGAGGCAGCAGUGGGGAAUAUUGGACAAAGGGCGCAAGCCUGAUCCAGCCAUACCGCGUGGGUGAAGAAGGCCUUCGGGUUGUAAAGCCCUUUUGUUGGGAAAGAAAAGCAGCAGGUUAAUACCCCGCUGUUCUGACGGUACCCCAAGAAUAAGCACCGGCUAACUUCGUG
rnacentral:rRNA from 1 species